AUAAAGUGAAAAUUUCCGACAACUUCCUUAAUGUUCAGAGCGCUUCUUGUUCUAUUGAGGUGCAGGCACCCUCAUCUUCAACCUCAUCAUCCUGGUGACUGCACUCAUUGUCUGGGCCAUUCUCUAGCCAAGCAAGCCCAAGUUUGUACUCCAGGACGCUACCAUCUCUCUCUCUUACCGAAGUGACCUUCUUCUCUCUAUCUCUCUUCUUUGCAACUUCUCUUUUCAAUUGUGUGAUUUACAGAUUUAUGAAAAAAUAGAUCACAGCGGCGGAUCUGAGCAGGGGAGCACGACGAUGCAUGGCUUUCAAGUGGCUGGGCUGGACUACCCUGGGCGUCUUCCCUUUUCCCCUCUCUCUAUCCAGAGUUGUAACUUUUUUUUUAUGAAAAAAUAUCUAUGUUGUUGAAGAUGAUCCAAGAUCUGAUUUUGGUUAUUUUAUCUUUUAUUUGCAUGUUGAGGGAGGAGAUCGAGGAGAGAGGGAUUAGGCAAGGGGUUUUCAGACGACUUCGGUGCUCUUGCUGAUCACAAUGGCAGAUCUGGGCUGGGGAGCACGACGCUGCGUCACUUUUAGGUGGCUGGGCAGGACUAUCCUUAGCAGUGAUUUGACUCAUGGAGGAGCUACGGACAGGCACCGCACCUCGUGGACGAGUGGCCCUCGAUCGAUGGCAACUGCAAAGCUUAGAGGUUGUGUUCGGUGCCAUGGAGAACCAGAGAGAGAGAGAGAGCCACGGUUGAAGAGGGAGAGAGAACCAGAGACGAUCUGGUUUUUGAAUUGUCGGCAGUAUAUAUAGCCUUAAUUGAGCAGAGAUUUUAUGAUUUCAUCUUCCAUCUCCAUUAAAAUCAUGAAAUAGUGCCCGCUUUAAUUGUGCUAGCUAGCUUCAAUAUUUAAGAAACUAUAUUUGUCGUCGUUUCUUUUCUUAA